AAAUUGAAGAGUUUGAUCAUGGCUCAGAUUGAACGCUGGCGGCAGGCCUAACACAUGCAAGUCGAGCGGUAGCACAGAGAGCUUGCUCUCGGGUGACGAGCGGCGGACGGGUGAGUAAUGUCUGGGAAACUGCCUGAUGGAGGGGGAUAACUACUGGAAACGGUAGCUAAUACCGCAUAAUGUCGCAAGACCAAAGUGGGGGACCUUCGGGCCUCAUGCCAUCAGAUGUGCCCAGAUGGGAUUAGCUAGUAGGUGGGGUAACGGCUCACCUAGGCGACGAUCCCUAGCUGGUCUGAGAGGAUGACCAGCCACACUGGAACUGAGACACGGUCCAGACUCCUACGGGAGGCAGCAGUGGGGAAUAUUGCACAAUGGGCGCAAGCCUGAUGCAGCCAUGCCGCGUGUGUGAAGAAGGCCUUCGGGUUGUAAAGCACUUUCAGCGGGGAGGAAGGCGUUAAGGUUAAUAACCUUAGCGAUUGACGUUACCCGCAGAAGAAGCACCGGCUAACUCCGUGCCAGCAGCCGCGGUAAUACGGAGGGUGCAAGCGUUAAUCGGAAUUACUGGGCGUAAAGCGCACGCAGGCGGUCUGUCAAGUCGGAUGUGAAAUCCCCGGGCUCAACCUGGGAACUGCAUUCGAAACUGGCAGGCUAGAGUCUUGUAGAGGGGGGUAGAAUUCCAGGUGUAGCGGUGAAAUGCGUAGAGAUCUGGAGGAAUACCGGUGGCGAAGGCGGCCCCCUGGACAAAGACUGACGCUCAGGUGCGAAAGCGUGGGGAGCAAACAGGAUUAGAUACCCUGGUAGUCCACGCCGUAAACGAUGUCGAUUUGGAGGUUGUGCCCUUGAGGCGUGGCUUCCGGAGCUAACGCGUUAAAUCGACCGCCUGGGGAGUACGGCCGCAAGGUUAAAACUCAAAUGAAUUGACGGGGGCCCGCACAAGCGGUGGAGCAUGUGGUUUAAUUCGAUGCAACGCGAAGAACCUUACCUGGUCUUGACAUCCACAGAACUUUCCAGAGAUGGAUUGGUGCCUUCGGGAACUGUGAGACAGGUGCUGCAUGGCUGUCGUCAGCUCGUGUUGUGAAAUGUUGGGUUAAGUCCCGCAACGAGCGCAACCCUUAUCCUUUGUUGCCAGCGGUUAGGCCGGGAACUCAAAGGAGACUGCCAGUGAUAAACUGGAGGAAGGUGGGGAUGACGUCAAGUCAUCAUGGCCCUUACGACCAGGGCUACACACGUGCUACAAUGGCAUAUACAAAGAGAAGCGACCUCGCGAGAGCAAGCGGACCUCAUAAAGUAUGUCGUAGUCCGGAUUGGAGUCUGCAACUCGACUCCAUGAAGUCGGAAUCGCUAGUAAUCGUAGAUCAGAAUGCUACGGUGAAUACGUUCCCGGGCCUUGUACACACCGCCCGUCACACCAUGGGAGUGGGUUGCAAAAGAAGUAGGUAGCUUAACCUUCGGGAGGGCGCUUACCACUUUGUGAUUCAUGACUGGGGUGAAGUCGUAACAAGGUAACCGUAGGGGAACCUGCGGUUGGAUCACCUCCUUA
rnacentral:rRNA from 1 species